rnacentral:rRNA from 1 species
UACGUAGGGGGCAAGCGUUACCCGGAUUUACUUUGGGCGUAAAGCGCGUGUAGGCGGCUGGUCAAGUGUGGUGUGAAAUCUCCCGGCUCAACCGGGAAACUGCAUUGCAAACUGGCCUGGCUAGAGUGCAGGAGAGGGCAGCAGAAUUCCCGGUGUAGCGGUGAAAUGCGUAGAUAUCGGGAGGAAUACCAGUGGCGAAGGCGGCUGCCUGGCCUGUAACUGACGCUGAGACGCGAAAGCGUGGGGAGCGAACCG